GACGAACGCUGGCGGCAUGCCUAACACAUGCAAGUCGAGCGAGCAGAUCCCUUCGGGGUGAAGCUAGCGGCGGACGGGUGAGUAACACGUGGGCAACCUGCCUCAUAGAGGGGAAUAGCCUUCCGAAAGGAAGAUUAAUACCGCAUAAGAUUGUAGCUUCGCAUGAAGCAACAAUUAAAGGAGCAAUCCGCUAUGAGAUGGGCCCGCGGCGCAUUAGCUAGUUGGUGAGGUAACGGCUCACCAAGGCGACGAUGCGUAGCCGACCUGAGAGGGUGAUCAGCCACAUUGGGACUGAGACACGGCCCAGACUCCUACGGGAGGCAGCAGUGGGGAAUAUUGCACAAUGGGGGAAACCCUGAUGCAGCAAUGCCGCGUGAGUGAUGACGGCCUUCGGGUUGUAAAGCUCUGUCUUCGGGGACGAUAAUGACGGUACCCGAGGAGGAAGCCACGGCUAACUACGUGCCAGCCGCCGCAGUAA
rnacentral:rRNA from 1 species